CCGUGUUGUGUAUCUUGGACGUUUCCUCCCUAAACUUGGGCCGUGCUAAAGCGCGGCCCCUUUUUUUUGGGGUC
rnacentral:sRNA from 1 species